CCACUACACCCAGGUGAGAUGGAGACAUUCCUGAGACAUUCAAGAGCCUAUACGAUGAGGUCUCCCAAAUGUAGAAAUUGCAACAAAGGGAGGGGAGGACCCCUGCCCUAUUCCAGCUCCAGCUGAAGCCAAAUUCCUUCCAGGAGCUGAGUAACCACCUGUUGAUUGAUUGUUACAGCGGCAAGAGCCUCUGAAAAAGCAAGAACAAACAGAUGGAAAUGUAGUCCAGCCUCUUAGAAGUGUUAAAUCAAGAGAUCAAAAAGAAAACUGGCUGUGGGCAAGUUGGGAUUUUCAAAGAAGUUUCAAACACAAAGCCCGUCUCUGGGAAGUUUGUCAGUCACAAUAUGGGCAAGUGUGGAAAA